GUUAAAUAAUUCUCAGCUUACAUUUAAUAAUGCCACUUCUUCUGUUUUUAAAGUCUAAAACCUGCAUCUAAUUGCUCUCUGAAGCAGACCUAAGGGUCGAUGUAUCUACUACAGUUCUAUGACUGCAACAUUAUUUACUGGAUUUGAUUAGCUAUCUUUGUAAAUCCUGUGAACCUUCAAAGGCUUUAGAAAUAAUGGGAUUGCUUUAUGAGUUACAGAAAUGUCUGCCUGCUAGUUUUGUAUGCAGAGGGGAUGACAGAGUUUUACACAGUAGCUGUGUUGAAAUUAUUUUAUUUCCGAGGCUAAAGACACCAACACAGACACAUUCUUCCUGCUCCAACAGCAGACAUGUGCCUGAAGAUGAUGUUUGCUAUUACUGUCAUACCAACUCACUCCUGUUAGCAGAGUCAGGAGACACUGAAGUCUUGAGUGAAAAGAAAAAGCACCUUUAUGGCAACUCCCCCUGACAAAACAACUCUUGAUGAUAUCUCAGCUUGAAAUCUCAUUAAAUGGAACUGAAAUUAAGAAGGAAGAUAUCCUAACAAGGAAAAUACCCUGAGAGAAAAAAACAAAUCCUGCAGCCCUUCAUGAGACCAAGAUCCUUUUAAAAGUAGACUGGAUGAACCAUAUCAUGAACUUGGGACAUUAGAAGGAAUAUCCUUGUUAAUAAUGCCGUCAAGCAGGAGGGCAUCGUGUUUUGUGUAUCUUGUGGAAUUUUAGGGAAAAAAUGAAUGCUGCUGUUCCCACGAGCUUUAUUUUUGUCCCAUACCUGAUGGCAAUCCAUGGAACAAAGCUUUCCAGCCUCUGUGGUGACAUAUCUAAAUGAAAGGACUCCAGGGAAUGCUCCAGCUGACUGGGAAGUGUUACCAUGAGAAAGGGAUUUGGCAUGCAUGAAUUUUUCUACACUCCUUGAGAUGCUUCAGUGUGUUCCUUCAUUUUAUAGGCUCUGGAAUGAGGCCUACACAUUUUUAAACUCAUUUAAAAACCCAUUUUGAUAUAAAGCACUGUUGGAACAUACUCUGCAAUUGAUUAAUGAAGAGUUAUUUGGACACAAGGCCAGAUUCUUUUUUUCUGUUGCUCUGGAGGGCAAAUGGAGAAAAACUCAUCAGAAUCAUGGGAGAGUCUUCAGUUAAUAACAGCAGCUGUGAUAACUGUGCAGGUUUUGAAGUUCAAGAAAGGACAGCACAUCAACAACAAAUUUUGCUGUCUUAGCUAGACUACACCAACACAGUUAGGCACAGUAUUUUCAGACCCACAAAAAUAAAUCUUUGUUAGUUUCAAUGGGGAAUUGAAAAUUUUUUCAGCUCUUCUUAAAUAAGAAAGAUGAAUCAGUUCUUUGAUCAGGAUCCUUGCUGUGAUCAGGUUCUAAAUGCCCACCAGGGCCAUUUGUGGGUGAUUUGAGACUGUAAAUAUCUGUUCUUUACGUCCUGUGAUUUCAGAACUGGGACCUUCCUCUUCAGAACCUUUCAGAGGUGACCAACAAGCCCCUUCUCCCUGCCCCAACAGGCAUCUAUCAGCAUGUUGAAAGGAAAGCAGAUUAAAAAUAAACACAUUCUGAAAUUGUCAGGGUUGAAUGACUGCAGCUGAGGGUAAAUAGACAUGUGGAGACACGUGACUUCAGCUGGGGCCCCAACACUGAAUCCUGUACUUCAAGAAAAAUGUGUAAUAUUCUCCAAUGCAUUAAACCUUGAGACUGGGAGUCCAGGAUGCAUUCUCAAAUGAUAAUGCUGCAGACACUUUAUUUGUAAAGCAGGUCUGCUGGAACAGCCCAAAAUGCAUCAAUACUCACUGUGGGAACUGUGGUCACAGUCUAAUGCUCAGCAUAACUAGCUGUGCUAAAAUUAUCUGAAACACAAGAGUGCAAAGCAUCUCUAAUGGAGAGGCAUGGCAAAGAGGAAAACAGGAUGUGCCUGUGGUCACAUGCAAAGCAUGAAGUGGAACUGGAUCAGAGGUUGGAACUAGCUGAAGUUAAUUUCCAGCCCAAGCCAUUCUGUGAUUCUGUAAUUCUGUGACCUGUGAAUUUGCUUGAGUAUGUACAUAGCCUCCCAUAAACAUAAUUUGAUAGUACAUAAGCCAUAAAUUUGGUGCAAUUUUAAAAAAUAAUAUACUGUUCUGUAACUUGUUAAUGUCAAAAAUCACACUGUUUACAAGAUAAAUAUACUUAGCCAUGAAUACCCCUGUGUUGAGUUUGGAGCUUAGCUAACGUGAAUAGUGUUGAAAUACAACAAUAAAAGGGAUCUUUCUGCCAUUUGCAAUUUUUUUCUUAAGGAAAGUUAUUCAAGCAAAGUACCAGUUUAUCUUGAAAUUGAACAGAAGUGAAAACACACCAUUUUGAAUUUUUAGGAAAGAAACAACAAUCAAAUAAAAAUAAAUAAAUGCUAGUUUUAUUCUUUCUAGCCUCAAAUUUCACAGUGAAAACAUCUUAAUUUUAUAUGUCUGGCAUAAAUAAAAAAGAAAGUGCUAGAAUUUUAGAAUUAAUUUUUUUAAGGCAGAAAGAUGUCAAAUCAAAACAGUAGGAACCUGAUUAGUCCUAGGUUCUCUAAUAGGUCUAAUGAUAAUAUAUGAAAACUUGUAUAAUCCAUUUAAUCUGCCAUCUGUUAAUUGUGCUCCCCAAGAAUUAGAUCUCCUUUAAAAAGUUUAAAACUGCAUUAGUAGAUUGCUCUACUGAGUCUCCAUAGCUGAUGGCUAAGAAGCCAAGGCUGGGUAUGUUCACACAAUGCAGUCACUGAAGUUCAACACAGUAAGAGAAUGUAUGUCAAUUGUUGGUCUGUCCAGCUCAAACGCAGAAUGGAGGAAUUUCUGUGAUGCAGGACAGUGCUUAAGAAUGCAGUUUAUAUUUUGUAAUAAUUCUGUAAGCUCUAGGAAUAUGAGCAAUUUUAAAUACUUGCCUGGAUCUGUAAGUAAAAACCUCUAGUGCUGCAUUAAAGGAAUAUCAUUUUGAAGGAAUAUUUUAGGAGUGUGUCUUUGUGUCUGCUCAUUUAUGUAGCAAGGCUACCUGCAUACUUCAUGCAUGAAUACCUUUUAUU